rnacentral:rRNA from 1 species
AACGAACGCUGGCGGCAUGCCUAACACAUGCAAGUCGAACGAGACCUUCGGGUCUAGUGGCGCACGGGUGCGUAACGCGUGGGAACCUGCCCUUAGGUUCGGAAUAACUCCCCGAAAGGGGUGCUAAUACCGGAUAAUGUCUUCGGACCAAAGAUUUAUCGCCUUUGGAUGGGCCCGCGUUGGAUUAGCUAGUUGGUAGGGUAAAAGCCUACCAAGGCGACGAUUCAUAGCUGGUCUGAGAGGAUGAUCAGCAACACUGGGACUGAGACACGGCCCAGACUCCUACGGGAGGCAGCAGUGGGGAAGAUUGGACAAUGGGCGAAAGCCUGAUCCAGCAAUGCCGCGUGAGUGAUGAAGGCCUUAGGGUUGUAAAGCUCUUUUACCCGGGAUGAUAAUGACAGUACCGGGAGAAUAAGCUCCGGCUAACUCCGU